UGAGAUGUCGUCAAUGAUGACAGGGAUUGAU
rnacentral:piRNA from 1 species